CUUGCUGGAACUUGUCCCUAAACUCCAGAAGGUUAGCGACAAUUUCGAAAGAAAGAAUCGUUUAUCAUUCAGUCUCGAAGAUUCCCACUUGAAAGUCUCCGUCAUCUCCCAAUAGAAAUAUAUUUCAUGGUCAUUUAGCCGUGAAAGAAAUCGAAGGCUGUGUUGCUAUUACUGAAAUAGUGUUGUUUUUCAGGCAAGUAUCUCCACCAAAGUGUUUGUCACUUGCCAUGCUUGAAUUUCUAGGUUAUGGAUGAUGGAUUUUGCUAUGAAAUGGAGGCUGGUUUGCGGCAUGGGCAGUUUCGCACCAGAGCUUUCGAGAAGCCUGGCGCUGCAGGGCCGGUCUAGGAAUCGCACGCAGAGGGGGAGUGCUUGCAAUCGUGUGUACGCUGUGGAUUCCGCGCAGUCGAUGCUGAACACUAACCCUCAACAGAAGUUAGAUACUCGAAAUGCAAGUUCGCCAUGAAAACUCAUUCACCAUUGAGGUUUACGAAUCACUAGCGUGGGAUAUGCUGCAAAGGAACUUAAUUCGACAGUGAGCUGUUCGUAUGGUAAUUGGAUUGCAGUCGAUGGGCGACGCACUUUUGCAAUACUAUCGCACCAGAUAACAGUCUGAAGCCUCUCAAAACAACUUGGGCCUGCAUUGCAAUAAAAGAGAAACUUGCUUUGGAGAUUCCUCAUGCAGCAGCUGACAGAAUCAAGUCAAACAGGGGGAUACGACCGAUAAUGCCACCUCUUACCCACGGGCCAAGCUGAUUUUUUUUCCCGUACUCUUUAUCCCUCUCACAAUGUUUAACACGAGGAUCCAGAAGUAGACGUCGCAAGCCUAUUGAUGGAUCGAAGCAGAUGGGGGUGCAACCAUACUUAGAAGAUUCCUGAAUUUAUUAGAACAUUCUGUAGGAGAAUUCGCUUGCUUGAGGGUCACAUUCAUGAGCUCAGUUUCCGAUCCUCCCACCGUGGGUCGUAUUAUCAACCUUAGGCUUCUGAAUUAGCAACAAUCUAACUCACCAGUUAGAAUAAAUGCAUCACCCUUCACCACAUGCUUGUACGUCACCUUGUAGUUUGGAGCUUGCCAGAUGGUGUAACCCUAACCCUAAGCUCGAGGUUACAUAUUUUCACGAGUGUGUGGACAAUACUCUUGGUGCAGAAUUUGCAUUCAGGUAUGAUUCAACAAACUUGUUACAGCUGAUCUUAUGCUUCAUGAGAUUCUGUCACAAAGUAAUACAAAAUUUUACACUCACGACAAA